UAUUGGACAAUGGGCGCAAGCCUGAUCCAGCCAUGCCGCGUGAGUGAUGAAGGCCUUAGGGUUGUAAAGCUCUUUUAGCGGAGACGAUAAUGACGGUAUCCGCAGAAAAAGCCCCGGCCAACUUCGUGCCAGCAGCCGCGGUAAUACGAAGGGGGCUAGCGUUGCUCGGAAUCACUGGGCGUAAAGCGCACGUAGGUGGGUCGUUAAGUCGGGGGUGAAAUCCCGGAGCUCAACUCCGGAACUGCCUUCGAUACUGGCGACCUUCGAGUCCGGGAGAGGUGAGUGGAACUGCGAGUGUAGAGGUGAAAUUCGUAGAUAUUCGCAAGAACACCAGUGGCGAAGGCGGCUCACUGCCCGGUACGACACUGAGGUGCGAG
rnacentral:rRNA from 1 species